GAUGAACGCUGGCGGCGUGCCUAAUACAUGCAAGUCGAGCGCACGGACGAGAAGCUUGCUUCUCUGAUGUUAGCGGCGGACGGGUGAGUAACACGUGGAUAACCUACCUAUAAGACUGGGAUAACUUCGGGAAACCGGAGCUAAUACCGGAUGAUAUUUUGAACCGCAUGGUUCAAAAGUGAAAGACGGUCUUGCUGUCACUUAUAGAUGGAUCCGCGCUGCAUUAGCUAGUUGGUAAGGUAACGGCUUACCAAGGCAACGAUGCAUAGCCGACCUGAGAGGGGGAUCGGCCACACUGGAACGGAGACACGGUCCAGACUCCUACGGGAGGCAGCAGUAGGGAAUCUUCCGAAAUGGGCGAAAGCCUGACGGAGCAACGCCGCGUGAGUGAUGAAGGUUUUCGGAUCGUAAAACUCUGUUAUUAGGGAAGAACAUAUGUGUAAGUAACUGUGCACAUCUUGACGGUACCUAAUCAGAAAGCCACGGCUAACUACGUG
rnacentral:rRNA from 1 species